CGAGUCCGAGUCUCCACGGAGACGAAGUGGCGGUCAUCCAGCUUCCUAGAAAAGCUCUAACCACGUUAAUCUUUAGUUGCCUGUACCCGAAACCGACACAGGUAGGGGGGUAGAGAAUACCAAGGGGCGCGAGAUAACUCUCUCUAAGGAACUCGGCAAAAUGACCCCGUAACUUCGGGAGAAGGGGUACCACUGAGAAGUGGUCGCAGUGAAGAGGCCCAGGCGACUGUUUACCAAAAACACAGGUCUCCGCCAAGUCGCAAGACGAAGUAUGGGGGCUGACGCCUGCCCAGUGCCGGAAGGUUAAGGAAGUGGGUUAGGGAUUCGUCCCGAAGCUGACGACUGAAGCCCCGGUGAACGGCGGCCGUAACUAUAACGGUCCUAAGGUAGCGAAAUUCCUUGUCGGGUAAGUUCCGACCCGCACAAAGGCGUAACGAUCUGGGCGCUGUCUCGGAGAGAGGCUCGGCGAAAUAGGAAUGUCUGUGAAGAUACGGACUACCUGCACCUGGACAGAAAGACCCUAUGAAGCUUUACUGUAGCUUGGAAUUGGGUUCGGGCUUGGUUUGCGCAGGAUAGGUGGGAGGCGAAGAAGAUUUGCUUGUGGGUGAAUCUGAGCCAACGGUGAGAUACCACUCUAACCAGGCUAGAAUUCUAACUUCAACCCGUCAACCGGGGGAAGGACAGUUUCAGGUGGGCAGUUUGACUGGGGCGGUCGCCUCCUAAAAGAUAACGGAGGCGCACAAAGGUUCCCUCAGGCUGGUUGGAAAUCAGCCAACGAGUGCAAAGGCAGAAGGGAGCUUGACUGCGAGACCUACAAGUCAAGCAGGGUGGAAACACGGUCUUAGUGAUCCGACGGCACCGAGUGGAAGGGCCGUCGCUCAACGGAUAAAAGUUACUCUAGGAUAACAGGCUGAUCUCCCCCAAGAGUUCACAUCGACGGGGAGGUUUGGCACCUCGAUGUCGACUCAUCGCAACCUGGGGCGGAAGUACGUCCCAAGGGUUGGGCUGUUCGCCCAUUAAAGCGGUACGUGAGCUGGGUUCAGAACGUCGUGAGACAGUUCGGUCCAUAUCCGGUGUAGGCGCAAGAACAUUGAGAGGAGUCUUCCUUAGUACGGGAGGACCGGGAAGAACGCACCGCUGGUGUACCUGUUAUCGUGCCAACGGUAAACGCAGGGUAGCCAAGUGCGGAGUGGAUAACCGCUGAAAGCAUCUAAGUGGGAAGCCCACCUCAAGAUGAGUGUUCUCAUGGAGUAAUCCAGUAAGGUCACGGGAAGACGACCCGUUGAUAGGCGGUAGGUGGAAGUUCAGCAAUGGAUGAAGCCGAGCCGUACUAACAGACC
rnacentral:rRNA from 1 species